CUGCUGGGCCGACACUGACACUGAGAGACGAAAGCUAGGGGAGCAAAUGGGAUUAGAGACCCCAGUAGUCCUAGCCGUAAACGAUGGAUACUAGGUGCUGUGCGACUCGACCCGUGCAGUGCUGUAGCUAACGCGUUAAGUAUCCCGCCUGGGGAGUACGUUCGCAAGAAUGAAACUCAAAGGAAUUGACGGGGGCCCGCACAAGCGGUGGAGCAUGUGGUUUAAUUCGAUGCAAAGCGAAGAACCUUACCAGGGCUUG
rnacentral:rRNA from 1 species